GAUGAACGCUGGCGGCGUGCUUAACACAUGCAAGUCGAACGAUGAAGCCCAGCUUGCUGGGUGGAUUAGUGGCGAACGGGUGAGUAACACGUGAGUAACCUGCCCUUAACUCUGGGAUAAGCCUGGGAAACUGGGUCUAAUACCGGAUAGGAGCGUCCACCGCAUGGUGGGUGUUGGAAAGAUUUAUCGGUUUUGGAUGGACUCGCGGCCUAUCAGCUUGUUGGUGAGGUAAUGGCUCACCAAGGCGACGACGGGUGGCCGGCCUGAGAGGGUGACCGGCCACACUGGGACUGAGACACGGCCCAGACUCCUACGGGAGGCAGCAGUGGGGAAUAUUGCACAAUGGGCGAAAGCCUGAUGCAGCGACGCCGCGUGAGGGAUGACGGCCUUCGGGUUGUAAACCUCUUUCAGUAGGGAAGAAGCGAAAGUGACGGUACCUACAGAAGAAGCACCGGCUAACUACGUG
rnacentral:rRNA from 1 species